rnacentral:rRNA from 1 species
AUUGAACGCUGGCGGCAGGCCUAACACAUGCAAGUCGAACGAGUGGCGGACGGGUGAGUAAUGUAUGGGAAACUGCCCGAUGGAGGGGGCUAACUACUGGAAACAGUAGCUAAUACCGCAUACCAUCGGAUGUGCCCAGAUGGGAUUAGCUUGUAGGUGGGGUAACGGCUCCCCUAGGCGACGAUCCCUAGCUGGUCUGAGAGGAUGACCAGCCACACUGGAACUUCGACACGGUCCCGACUCCUCCGGGAGGCCGCAGUGGGGAAUAUUGCUCAAUGGUCGCAAGCCUGAGUCCGCCAUGCCGCGUUUAUGAAGAAGGCCUUCGGGUUGUAAAGUUCUUUCAUCGAGGAUGCGUUACUCGCAGAAGAAGCCCCGGCUAACUCCGUGCCAGCAGCCGCGGUAAUUC